AUUGAACGCUGGCGGCAGGCCUAACACAUGCAAGUCGAACGAGGGGCGGACGGGUGAGUAAUGUCUGGGAAACUGCCCGAUGGCGGGGGAGAACUGCUGGAAACGGUAGCUAAUACCGCAUACCAUCGGAUCGGCCCAGAUGGGAUUAGCGAGUGGGUGGGGUAACGGCUAACCUAGGCGACGAUCCCUAGCUGGCCUGAGAGGAUGACCGGCCACAUUGGAACUGAGACACGGCCCAGACUCCUACGGGAGGCAGCAGUGGGGAAUAUUGCACAAUGGGCGCAAGCCUGAUACAGCCAUGCCGCGUGUAUGAAGAAGGCCUUCGGGUUGUAAAGUACUUUCAGCGAGGAGGCGUUACUCGCAGAAGAAGCACCGGCUAACUCCGUGCCAGCAGCCGCGGUAAUUC
rnacentral:rRNA from 1 species